GGGGAUAUGGCUCAGUGGUGUAGCAUCUGCCUGGCAAGCACAAGGUCCUGAGUUCAACUCUCAGUAUCCCCU
rfam:Cavia porcellus supercont2_15 genomic scaffold, whole genome shotgun sequence.